ACUCUGGGAUAAGCGCUGGAAACGGCGUCUAAUACUGGAUAUGAGCCUCUUCCGCAUGGUGGGGGGUUGGAAAAGAUUUUUUUUUUUGGUCUGGGAUGGGGCUCGCGGCCUAUCAGCUUGUUGGUGAGGUAAUGGCUCACCAAGGCGUCGACGGGUAGCCGGCCUGAGAGGGUGACCGGCCACACUGGGACUGAGACACGGCCCAGACUCCUACGGGAGGCAGCAGUGGGGAAUAUUGCACAAUGGGCGAAAGCCUGAUGCAGCAACGCCGCGUGAGGGAUGACGGCCCUUCGGGUUGUAAAACCUCUUUUAGCAGGGAAGAAGCGAAAAGUGACGGUCCUGCAGAAAAAAGCGCCSGGCUAACUCGUGCCA
rnacentral:ncRNA from 1 species